GACGAACGCUGGCGGCGUGCCUAAUACAUGCAAGUUGAGCGCUGAAGGUUGGUACUUGUACCCACGGGAUGAGCAGCGAACGGGUGAGUAACGCGUGGUGGAUCUGCCUUUGAGCGGGGGACAACAUUUGGAAACGAAGGCUAAGACCGCAUAAAAACUUUAAACACAAUGUUUAAGUUUUAAAGAUGCAAUUGCAUCACUUAAAGGUGAUCCCACGUUGUAUUAGCUAGGUGGUGAGGUAAAGGCUCAACAAGGAGAUGAUACGUAGCCGGCCGCAGAGGGGGAUCGGCCAAACUGGGACUGGGACACGGCCCAACAUCCUAGGGGAGGAAGCAGGAGGGAAUCCUCGCGAAUGGAAGCAAGUCUGAACGAGGAACGCCGGGGGAAAGACGAAGGUUUUCGGACCGUAAAAAUCUUUUAGUCGAGAAGAAUGUUAGGGAGAGUGAAAAGCUCAGAAAGUGACGGUACCUACCCAGAAAGCGACGGCUAACUACGUG
rnacentral:rRNA from 1 species